rnacentral:tRNA from 2 species
GCCCCCAUAGUUAAACGGAUAUAACGGAGGUUUCCUAAACCUUUGUUGGUGGUUCGAUUCCGCCUGGGGGUGCCA